GGAGACCAGCCUUGGCUGGACCACUUCCACCCCAGAGGCUCUUCACCGCCUCCCCAUCCAGACCCAAGGUUCCCUAGUGGUCCAGACGGUUUCCUUGGCAGCGCUGGCACCAGGCCCACCACAGCUGCCAAACAUGAGGUGAUGGGACAGCCCUCGUGGCCUCCACCCACCGCCCUGGUGGAGAAGUGAAACAUGAACCCACCAGUGCAAGACAGAGGAAGAGGCACCAGCGAAGGCAAGAAAACUGAAGCUGGACGCUGGCCUCCAGUCCUGUCUUUGCCAUUAGCAGCCCUGGGAUCUUAGUGCCUUCACCAGCCGAGCUUCAGUUUUUCCACCUGUAAAAUGGAGGGUUGAGGCCACAUCUUCCUUUUAGUCCUUCCUCUUCCCUUCCCUCCAGAGCAAGUGGUGUGGAAUUCUAAGGCAAAAGUCACCCUGAUUGAAUGGUGUAGAUUAGUCAAGAACCCAGCACUGAGGUCAGCCUCUGGAAGCAAUUUAAGAUGACCCAAGGAUUUGAGAUUCCAACCUCCUGCAUGCAAGCAGAAGUGCUUCCUCCUACAUAGGGCUGCCCUCCUUCCUGAGCAACUGGGCUGAUUUGUGGAAGAAACAGCUGUGCUUUCUGGUGAGCUCCAAUGCCAAACAUGUAGGCCUUGGAUCAGGCAGGAUGUUCCAUCAGCAGUCAUUGUUCACACCUGUGCUGUAUGGGCCAGGCAUCGAGCCAAUAGUAACACCUCCUUUCACCCCACAACAACCCUGUACCAAGCACACACCCAUUUUAUACCUGAGGAAGCUGAGGCUUGGAGAGGCACCGCGCCCAGGGUCAUGUAACCACAGGUGACAAAAUGAAGAUGCAAAUGCAACCUGAGUGAUUCCUUUUGAUGGAGCCACACCAUUUAAAUCAAUG
rnacentral:lncRNA from 10 species